rnacentral:rRNA from 1 species
UACGAAGGGGGCUAGCGUUGCUCGGAAUCACUGGGCGUAAAGCGCACGUAGGCGGCUUUGUAAGUCAGUGGUGAAAUAUGGCAGCUCAACUGUCAAGGUGCCAUUGAUACUGCGGAGCUUGAGUACAGAUGAGGUAGGCGGAAUUGACGGUGUAGCGGUGAAAUGCUUAGAUAUCGUCAAGAACACCUAUAGCGAAGGCAGCUUACUAGGCUGUAACUGACGCUGAGGCACGAAAGUGUGGGGAUCAAACAGG